rnacentral:rRNA from 1 species
UACGUAGGGUGCGAGCGUUGUCCGGAAUUAUUGGGCGUAAAGCGCACGUAGGCGGUUCGUUAUGUCGGAUGUGAAAGCCCUCGGCUUAACCGGGGAACUGCGUCCGAUACUGGAUGGCUUGAGUUCGGGAGAGGGAUGCGGAAUUCCAGGUGUAGCGGUGAAAUGCGUAGAUAUCUGGAGGAACACCGGUGGCGAAGGCGGCAUCCUGGACCGACACUGACGCUGAGGAGCGAAAGCCAGGGGAGCAAACGGG